GGAGGGAUGGCUGAGCGGUUGAAGGCGGCGCACUCGAAAUGCGUUGGGCGGGUUUUGCCUGUCCCCAGGGUUCGAAUCCCUGUCCCUCCGCCA
rnacentral:tRNA from 1 species